rnacentral:rRNA from 1 species
AACGAACGCUGGCGGCAGGCCUAACACAUGCAAGUCGAGCGAGGACUUCGGUUCUAGCGGCGGACGGGUGAGUAACGCGUGGGAAUGUGCCCUUCUCUACGGAAUAGCCCUGGGAAACUGGGAGUAAUACCGUAUACGCCCUAUUGGGGAAAGAUUUAUCGGAGAAGGAUCAGCCCGCGUUGGAUUAGGUAGUUGGUGGGGUAAUGGCCUACCAAGCCGACGAUCCAUAGCUGGUUUGAGAGGAUGAUCAGCCACACUGGGACUGAGACACGGCCCAGACUCCUACGGGAGGCAGCAGUGGGGAAUCUUAGACAAUGGGGGCAACCCUGAUCUAGCCAUGCCGCGUGAGUGAUGAAGGCCUUAGGGUUGUAAAGCUCUUCAGCUGGGAAGAUAAUGACGGUACCAGCAGAAGAAGCCCCGGCUAACUCCGUG